rnacentral:rRNA from 1 species
GACGAACGCUGGCGGCGUGCCUAAUACAUGCAAGUAGAACGCUGAAGGAGGAGCUUGCUCUUCUGGAUGAGUUGCGAACGGGUGAGUAACGCGUAGGUAACCUGCCUGGUAGCGGGGGAUAACUAUAGGAAACGAUAGCUAAUACCGCAUAACAGUAGAUGCUGCAUGACAUUUGCUUAAAAGGUGCAAUUGCACCACUACCAGAUGGACCUGCGUUGUAUUAGCUAGUUGGUGGGGUAACGGCUCACCAAGGCGACGAUACAUAGCCGACCUGAGAGGGUGAUCGGCCACACUGGGACUGAGACACGGCCCAGACUCCUACGGGAGGCAGCAGUAGGGAAUCUUCGGCAAUGGACGGAAGUCUGACCGAGCAACGCCGCGUGAGUGAAGAAGGUUUUCGGAUCGUAAAGCUCUGUUGUAAGAGAAGAACGAGUGUGAGAGUGGAAAGUUCACACUGUGACGGUAUCUUACCAGAAAGGGACGGCUAACUACGUG